UACAGAGGUCUCAAGCGUUGUUCGGAUUCAUUGGGCGUAAAGGGUGCGUAGGCGGCGCGGUAAGUCGGGUGUGAAAUCUUGGAGCUUAACUCCGAAACUGCAUUCGAUACUGCCGUGCUUGAGGACUGGAGAGGAGACUGGAAUUUACGGUGUGGCGGUGAAAUGCGUAGAUAUCGUAAGGAAGACCAGUGGCGAAGGCGGGUCUCUGGACAGUUCCUGACGCUGAGGCACGAAGGCCAGGGGAGCAAACGGG
rnacentral:rRNA from 1 species